GGCAGUUGGGUGUUUCUUGGAAAGAUCACUCCCCGUUGCUUUUCCCAUCUUUGCUUUUCCCAUCCUUUGCUUUUCCCAUCCUUCGCUCCUCCAUCCGCGGCCGUUACCCCAGCCCUCGAGCACCAGAAAUAGAAACUCGGAGGCUGGCGUCGAGGCUAGACAUGGACUCCGCGCCUGGCCCCUUCCAGAUCCCAGUUUUCUAAAGUGACUUCGCACCAAAGUCCGGGCUCCCUAAUUUAUGCGUUUUUAGACCCUUAAGCAUCAUUUUGUGGGCAACCAAACGGGCACUUCCAAAUUAGCUCAAAGUAUCCAAGCCCAGAGAAGAGAGAAAACACACAUACACUGAUAAAUACGCAGAUGCUAACUUGUAAGUAUUCUGUUUUUCCUCUGUGGGGAUGGAAAUUGAACAAGGGAAAGAGGGGGAACAUUUUUAUUUCCUAAAAUGUUUCCUACUGAGUUUGCACUUGUAAAGUUUUUUCUGCUUUCUUUCCCUUUGUGUGUGUUCUUACUCUCUUUCUCUCAGUAAAUAUCUCUGACUUAAGUUUAUUCUCCCAUCACUACCGUGAUCAAAAAGAAGAGAAAGACAAAAUAUCAAAACUUCCAAAUAUUUCUAGUUGUUCGCAACGGGUCUUUUUGUUGUUGUUGGAAAAAUAUAACCUGUUCAAGCGAUAUGAAAAUGGAUGCAGAAAUCAGGUCUUUUAUGAACUUGAAACACAUCGGCUAGGUCUUCAUCCUCACCUGCACUGGAAUUACCUACUUAAGAAAAACAAACUAAUGAUACACAAAGAAGCACUUAUGUAUGUAUUUAAACACUUGCUGGGAUCCUUCUGAAAACUACAGUUUGAAUUUUACGUUUCCGGUUUAGUUUAAAUUGUAUUGUUUACUUGUAUGUAUUAGCUUAAAUAAAAUAAUAGUCAUUUCAAAUGUUUCUCAGAGACAACAGGGUAAGUAAAAAAUAGUUGUGUUAUGACAUCUGUGAAUAUAAAAGUUAUUUGUGGCCCAUUAUAUUUUAUUUUUCAAGUUCAAACGUAUUUCAAAUAUGAAACGCAUUAUCAUAAUCUCCAUAUUGAUUAGUUGUCCAAGUUGAAAAGUGUUUACAAUUUUAAUUUUUUCCAGAUGAUUAUUACUCUGUUUUCAGGCUAUAAAUUUCAUCUCAUGUAAUUUUCUUUGUAGAACUUUGACAUAGCAGUUAACAUCAAGUGGUUGUACUACAAUUUUUGCUUAUUUUGUUUUUCAACUGCAUUGGGUCCUGUUAUAAGUGCAUAUACAUCUGGAAUGCUUCCAUCUUUAAAUUAAAAGCACUUUAUCACAUCUGAAGGUUCUCUGCAGAGAGUCACUUUCUGACUGCUUAGGAACUUGAUAAGCCAAAUAGUAUUCCAUCACUGUAGGUAAACAGUUCUGGGAAAGAAAAAUCUACAGUCUUUGACAAUUCUUCCUGUCAAUUGUUUGUACCUCAUUCUAGAAAUUACAUAUCUUCAUGCCGGAAACACUAUUUGGAUGCGUGUGGAUGAUUCUGAAAAUUGAUAUAGUCUGAAGGAUGUAUAUGUACAUUUAUAUAUAGACACAAUAUAACCCAAUUGAUAUUCCA